UAUUUUUAAAAGGUUAUCAUUUUUAUCGUUCGCUCGAAUUCACGAGAUUACGAAAAAUCGUAGUUCCAAGAGUCGAAAAGGGAGAUAGGAUCCUCGAGACUGUCUAUUUUCUAUUUUUCGCAAAAAUAUAAGAUACGUACGAAUUUUAAUAACACGAUGAUGUAAACACAAUUAAAAACAAUUGUACAAAUUUUUAGCACAAAAAGAAAGAGAAAGCAAAAUAUGCGAAACCCUGCCGAUUAAAUUCGUCGCAAGAGAAAAAAAAAGAAAAAGACGAAAAUCCUCCCGCAUUCUCCCCAUCCCACCCAUCGUUCCUACGCGUAAUUAAUUCGUAAUUAAUUUCUCAUCAAGUAUUCCGCAUCAAGUGUUGGAGAAUCGCAUGGAAAUCGACUAAUAAUUACAUCGGCGAUACGAGGCGCUUUCGUUAACGUUGUUUUCCACCUAACUGCAUUCCAAACCACACCUCGACACACACGUCGAUUUACACCGUCGAGCCAUUCCAUCUUACGUGUACAUUAUGCAUAGAGAGUGUCCUCUUCUCUACUACUGUUGGCUCGUGUUUUUCUUUUUCUUUUUCUUUUUUUUUUUUUUUUUUUUAAAGAAAUUCAACGUAACGGUAAUCGACUCGCGGCAUUUCAACGACUCGACGUGCCAAAGAGGUUUUCUCUCUCUUUCCUCUUCUUUUUUUUCUUUCCUUCUUCUUUUUUUCAGAAAAGAACGCGGGAGAGAGUUCAUUUGGAACGAACCAGUUUCUCGCUGAAUCCAUUCUUGCUUAUCUAAAACUCUUUCGCGGCUGUAAACGAGACGAGUUGAAAGGGUCGUUGGGAGAGGAAGAGAGAGAGAGAGAGAGAGAAGAGUGUCAGUGGAGGGGAUCGAGAAGGAUAAAACAAGCGAGGAUAUUUGGAGGUUGGAGAAGGAAAUAAUUAAUCGAUUAAGAAGAGAGGAAAAGAUUGUGCGAAUGGAACGAAAAUUUCGCUCUAAGGGGAAAGAUUUGAAUGGAGAUCAGGACGAGUCGAAAAGUCUCGUAAUAUCGGCAACGGUCUGCCCGGGAGUUUCCUCGAGCUCCUGGAUCUGAUGAUGAUGGCCCGUUUCGUGUCCAUGCCCGAGUUUCCCAUCGAGGGACGUCGGCGAGGUGUCUGCAUCUACUUGCGGACUAUCAAAUUUACCAUUUUUUACAACUCUCGAUCGCGACGAGCAAAGAGAAGGGAAAGGGAGCAUUGGGUGUUUCACCAGUUGGCAAUAAAAAUAAGAAAUAAAGUAAACGUGGUGGACGUAAUCGGGUGAAAGUUGUUAUUCGAUACAUAUUCAGGGGCAUAAAGGAAUUUUCUGCGCGAUAUAAACGCCCGUAAAACGUCAUAAAUCGCAUCGAAUUGGCCAAGCGAUACGAUAUCCCUUU